AUUGAUCUUGGCUUAAGUACUGGUCCUGAAUUUAUCAAACUCGUUGUAAAAUGAGUUAAAAGUGAGGCUGAGCGCAGGGCCAAAACAAGGCUGAGACAAAACAUUCUUCCUUUAACUUGUCUGUGUUUCCCAGAGAAUGUGUUCUCAUUAUUUUGUCUGCUGUUUUGUACCUUUGGACAUUCCACCAAUGAUGAAAUUCAGACAGUUCUAUCAGAUUUCGCUUCAAAAAUUUUGGACCUUUGUUACUAGGUACAUAAACAUCUGAGGUGUUUAUUGGAGCUCUUUGCCUAGAACUGAUAAUUGGAUUCAUGGUAUUCUGGAGAACAAGGAAACAGGCUGAGGAAGAAUAAGAGACUUGCUUGAGGAAGAAAACUGAAGCCCAGAAAGCUUAAUAUAUUACCCAAAGAGUUAGUCCACAUUGAACUGGGAGUUAAUCCUUGUCUGUCUGGCUGGAAAGCUUUUGCUCUGUAUCUUGGAUGAAUAAACUAAACCUUAGGGAAUCUUCCUAGAAGAAACCAUAUAACGCCUCCUGUACGAGAAGUUAAAUUACAACACAAAGAUUGCUUGGUGAGCAUGUGAUCAAAACAGGGCAAGAUGAAGACCUUUAGAGGCCACAAGCAUUUUAGUGUGCCUCCCAACUUCCCUUAUAUUAUUCAAAAUAUAAACAAUAAAAUCUACAAAGAUGUGAAAGAAGUCCAACAAAAGCUUUAUUUUUUUUAUGAUGAAUACUUUUAAAACUUCAUUGAAAUAUCAAAUAUCAUAUUCUUUUAAAACGAUUUUUUUUUCUUUUUGCAAUUUGUUUUGUUGGUAUCCAAAAUACACAGUUUUUCUGCUGGGCUCCGAACAAGAGGAGUUAAUUUUAGUCCUUAGAGUUUUGACUGCAACAAGC
rnacentral:lncRNA from 10 species